AGGUGCAAGAUUCCGAUGAAGAUG
rnacentral:siRNA from 1 species